rnacentral:rRNA from 1 species
CGGGGGGCAGCAGUGGGGAAUAUUGCACAAUGGGCGAAAGCCUGAUGCAGCAACGCCGCGUGGGGGAUGACGGCCUUCGGGUUGUAAACCUCUUUUAGCAGGGAAGAAGCGAAAGUGACGGUACCUGCAGAAAAAGCGCCGGCUAACUACGUGCCAGCAGCCGCGGUAAUACGUAGGGCGCAAGCGUUGUCCGGAAUUAUUGGGCGUAAAGAGCUCGUAGGCGGUUGGUCGCGUCUGCUGUGAAAACCCGAGGCUCAACCUCGGACCUGCAGUGGGUACGGGCCAACUAGAGUGCGGUAGGGGAGAUCGGAAUUCCUGGUGUAGCGGUGGAAUGCGCAGAUAUCAGGAGGAACACCAAUGGCGAAGGCAGAUCUCUGGGCCGUAACUGACGCUGAGGAGCGAAAGCGUGGGGAGCGAACAGGAUUAGAUACCCGAGU